rnacentral:misc_RNA from 1 species
GAUGAAGAACGCAGCGAAAUGCGAUAAGUAAUGUGAAUUGCAGAAUUCAGUGAAUCAUCGAAUCUUUGAACGCACCUUGCGCCCUUUGGCUAUUCUGAAGGGCAUGCCUGUUUGAGCGUCAUUAAACCUCUCUCAAGUAUGAUUACUUGGAUGUGAAGGAAGAGUACCUUAAACUUAAGGAGUGUUCUCCUUUGAAAUUGAUUAGCAGAUGGUAAUGUUAUUAAAUCCCUGAUGUUGUAAGAAAUAACAGUGGUUUUGUAGACUAUUAUCUAGCUUUAAAUUAUAAUUUUUAUUAUGGUUGACCUCAAAUCAGGUAAGGAUACCCGCUGAACUUAAGCAUAUCAAUAAGCGGAGGA